UACGUAGGGGGCAAGCGUUGUCCGGAAUCAUUGGGCGUAAAGAGCGUGUAGGCGGCCUGAUAAGUCGGCUGUGAAAGUCAAGGGCUCAACCCUUGAAUGCCGGCCGAUACUGUCAGGCUAGAAUCCGGAAGAGGCGAGUGGAAUUCCUGGUGUAGCGGUGAAAUGCGCAGAUAUCAGGAGGAACACCUACGGCGAAGGCAGCUCGCUGGGACGGUAUUGACGCUGAGACGCGAAAGCGUGGGGAGCGAACAGG
rnacentral:rRNA from 1 species